rnacentral:rRNA from 1 species
UACGUAGGUGGCAAGCGUUGUCCGGAAUUAUUGGGCGUAAAGCGCGCGCAGGCGGUUUCUUAAGUCUGAUGUGAAAGCCCCCGGCUCAACCGGGGAGGGUCAUUGGAAACUGGGAAACUUGAGUGCAGAAGAGGAAAGUGGAAUUCCUGGUGUAGCAGUGAAAUGCGUAGAUAUCAGGAGGAACACCGAUGGCGAAGGCAGGUCUCUGGGCUGAAACUGACGCUCAAGCACGAAAGCGUGGGGAGCAAACAGG